rnacentral:lncRNA from 1 species
CCCAGAUUACCUAACACGUAUCUCACCUUACUCUCCGUGUCCCCACACAACAGAGUCACAUUACCUUGGGGGGUCUGGUGCCCCUGUUUCCAGCCUGUCACUUCCUGUUCCUUCCUUUUCCCCAAACCUGCAGCGUGAUCUGUAAGCUGCAGGCCCACCAGUUCAAAGUGUAAUGAGGAGAAGGCUCCACAUCACAGAGACACCAGGGGAGUCACAGAGCAGCCACUGGAGGGCUCUUCCUGCCCGUCACCCUCAGAGGCACCUUGGCCUGUGGCCUUGAUCAGUCUUGCUCUUUCGUGGACUUCAGGAAUACAGGACAGUGUGCUCUGUGUUCCUGCGGGUCUGACUCUUAGCUCCAAACUUCAGAAGCAUCAGCUGGGGGUCUGGAGCAGGAGGAACUGGCUGUGCAGGUCACUGAACACACACC